UGACACAUCGCCUGAUCAUCCAGCAUUUCUAUGUGUCAAAUUCAUCGAUUUUGGCAUUGGAGUCCCUUUUAGAGCAGAAGCAGUCACACGAAGAAAUGGGACCAAAUCAGCCGCUGUAAACUGGCAGGACUUUAAUGCCACCACAGCAGAUUGCGUCACAGUUUUGCAGCUGGGUGCGGUGAUGGAUUGGCUGGUACGUCACAUCAUCCCUGAUGACAACAACACAUCUGAGAUGCACACUGACAUUUCAGAGGACUGCAAGUGUUUUCUGUUGGGUUGUUACUGUCAGAACCAUGAAGACCGCCUCACCCUAGAGGAACUUCAGAAUCAUCCCUGGCUCA